rnacentral:tRNA from 1 species
AAAAAGAUAAGCUAAAGAUUAAGCUAACGGGCUCAUACCCCGUCUAUGAAGAUCACUUCUCUUUUUA